rnacentral:rRNA from 1 species
CCUACGGGUGGCAGCAGUGGGGAAUAUUGCACAAUGGGGGAAACCCUGAUGCAGCGACGCCGCGUGAGCGAUGAAGUAUUUCGGUAUGUAAAGCUCUAUCAGCAGGGGAGAAAAUGACUGUACCUGACUAAGAAGCCCCGGCUAACUACGUGACACCAGCCGCGGGAAUACGGAGGGGGCCAGCGUUAUCCGGAUUUACGGGGUGUAAAGGGGGCGUAGACGGCGAUGCAAGCCAGGUGUGAAAGCCCGGGGCUCGACCCCGGGACUGCAUUUUGAACUGUAUAGCUGGAGUGUCGGAGAGGCAGGCGGAAUUCCUAGUGUAGCGGUGAAAUGCGUAGAUAUUAGGAGGAACACCAGUGGCGAAGGCGGCCUGCUGGACGAUGACUGACGUUGAGGCUCGAAAGCGUGGGGAGCAAACAGGAUUAGAUACCCGAGUAGUC